ACAAAGAGCAGCAAGUUCGCGAGGACAAGCAAAUCUCAUAAACCGUGGCUCAGUUCAGAUCGUAGCUGCAACUCGCCUACGUGAAGGAGGAAUCGCUAGUAAUCGCAGGUCAGCAUACUGCGGUGAAUACGUUCCCGGGCCUUGUACACACCGCCCGUCACACCAUGGAAGUUGGCCACGCCCGAAGCCGUUACUCCAACCCUUGUGGAGGAGGACGUCGAAGGUGGGGCUGAUGACUGGGGUGAAGUCGUAACAAGGUAGCCGUACCGGAAGGUGCGGCUGGAUCACCUCCUAA
rnacentral:rRNA from 1 species